GAUGAACGCUAGCGGCAGGCUUAAUACAUGCAAGUCGAGGGGCAGCAUGACUGUAGCAAUACAGUUGAUGGCGACCGGCAAACGGGUGCGGAACACGUACAGAACCUUCCUUCGAGCGGGGAAUAGCCCAGAGAAAUUUGGAUUAAUACCCCCAUAGGUAUAUUAGAGUGGCAUCACUUUGAUAUUAAAGAUUUAUCACUUGAAGAUGGCUGUGCGGCUGAUUAGGUAGUUGCGGGGUAACGGCCCACCAAGCCUUCGAUCAGUAACUGGUGUGAGAGCACGACCAGUCACACGGGCACUGAGACACGGGCCCGACUCCUACGGGAGCAGCAGUAAGGAUAUUGGUCAAUGGACGAAAGUCUGAACCAGCCAUG
rnacentral:rRNA from 1 species